rnacentral:rRNA from 1 species
GAUGAACGCUGGCGGCGUGCCUAAUACAUGCCAGUCGAGCGAACGGACGAGAAGCUUGCUUCUCUGUUGUUAGCGGAGGACGGGUGAGUAACACGUGGAUAACCUACCUAUAAGACUGGGAUAACUUCGGGAAACCGGCGCUAAUCCCGGAUGAUAUUUUGAACCGCAUGGUUCAAAAGUGAAAGUCGGUCUUGCUGUCACUUAUCGAUGGUUCCGCGCUGCAUUAGCUAGUUGGUAAGGUCACGGCUUACCACGGCGACGAUGCCUAGCCGAACUGAGAGAGUGAUCGGCCACACUGGAACUGAGACACGGUCCAGACGCCUACGGGAGGCAGCAGUAGGGUAUCUGCCGCAGUGGGCGAAAGCCUGACGGAGCGACGCCGCGUGUGUGAUGAAGGUCUUCGGAUCGUAAAACUCUGUUAUUAGGGAAGAACAUAUGUGUAAGUAACUGUGCACAUCGUGACGGUACCUAAUCAGAAAGCCACGGCUAACUACGUG